rfam:Hordeum vulgare subsp. vulgare, WGS project CAJW01000000 data, contig: morex_contig_174864
UAUAUACUCCUUCCAUUUCAAAAUUCUUGUCUUAGAUUUAUCUAGAUAUGAAUGUAUCUAGUCACGUUUUAGUAUUUUGAUACUAGACAAAUCUAAGACAAGAAUUUUGGGACGGAGGGAGUAUGUG